GUGAGCCAGCAUUGGAAGAAAACAGAAAGCCGGAGUUUGGCUCCUCCUCACUAUCCCAAGUCCUCUUGAUCCUCCCCCUACCUCCUUGUGGGCAGCCGAGUUGGACUCCCAGAAGCGUUGCACUUUGCUGAAGGUGACAUUUGUGCAGUCGGAGAGGCCGCUCAGGAAGGUGCCGCUGGACUUCUCCGUGAGAGCGGGGGCCACCUCUUCUUCCAUGGCCGUCUCCGGGGCUUGGCUUUUGCCCAGACGCAAGGACCCUGACUGCAGCUCAUUAUGCAACUUCACCGCAUCAACUGUCAGGUCACUUUUUCCUGAAAACAGGAGGCACAGCGUUUCAACUUGGCCGAGACACCCGAGGGCAACUUUCCCGAGCGACCCAUCUCGAGAAGCCACCACUCAGCUCACAGCACCAGCCACCGGAACCUGGGAACACGCGCAGAACCCACGUGGACCCGCGACGGCUUCACUUCCUCUUUCUCUGACGUAACUUCCGGAUUCGCGUCUGUUUCUAUGGCAAAACAGUCAACAUCCGGUUUUGCGUUUCCUCUAGGCUCCGGAUCCUUGAGCGCUUCCGAGCAGCUCGGUUGCUAGGGAGUCGCUGGGGCUUGUGCCCCCCUGGCCACAGCUGCGGGUUCUUAGCCUUAUAAAACGAGAAUUACUUUGCAGGUUAAAACGUCUUUUAUACGUCACACGUAUAUUUAUAUUUAUAUUAUUUUUAACAUCUAAUUUCGAAAGUAAAGCUUGGAAACAAAUUUA